rnacentral:rRNA from 1 species
GAUGAACGCUGGCGGCGUGCCUAAUACAUGCAAGUCGAGCGAACAGAUGAGAAGCUUGCUUCUCGGAUGUUAGCGGCGGACGGGUGAGUAACACGUGGGUAACCUACCUAUAAGACUGGGAUAACUCCGGGAAACCGGGGCUAAUACCGGAUAAUAUUUUGAGCCGCAUGGUUCGAUAGUGAAAGACGGUUUUGGCUGUCACUUAUAGAUGGACCCGCGCCGUAUUAGCUAGUUGGUAAGGUAACGGCUUACCAAGGCGACGAUACGUAGCCGACCUGAGAGGGUGAUCGGCCACACUGGAACUGAGACACGGUCCAGACUCCUACGGGAGGCAGCAGUAGGGAAUCUUCCGCAAUGGGCGAAAGCCCGACGGAGCAACGCUGCGUGAGUGAUGAAGGUCUUCGGAUCGUAAAACUCUGUUGUUAGGGAAGAACAAAUUUGUUAGUAACUGAACAAGUCUUGACGGUACCUAACCAGAAAGCCACGGCUAACUACGUGCCAGCCGCCGCAGUAA